CGCGUGGCGGUGUGCUUCACACAUGCAAGUCGAACGAGGUAGCAAUACCUAGUGGCGGACGGGUGAGUAACGCGUGGGAAUCUGCCUUUAGAUGGGGGAUAACGGGUCGAAAGACUCGCUAAUACCGCAUAUGACGAAAGUUGAAAGGAGUAAUCCGUCUAAAGAUGAGCCCGCGUCCGAUUAGCUAGUUGGUAGAGUAAAAGCCUACCAAGGCGACGAUCGGUAGCUGGUCUGAGAGGAUGAUCAGCCACAAUGGGACUGAGACACGGCCCAUACUCCUACGGGAGGCAGCAGUGGGGAAUUUUACGCAAUGGGCGAAAGCCUGACGUAGCGACACCGCGUGAGCGAAGAAGCCCCUUGGGGUGUAAAGCUCUGUCAGCUGGAACGAAAAAAAUGACGGUACCAGCAGAGGAAGCAUCGGCUAACUACGUG
rnacentral:rRNA from 1 species